rnacentral:lncRNA from 1 species
GCUCAAUAACCUCACCAGGUUGCUCCCCCUACUCGAAAACCUCGUCGGUCGUACUUUCUGCACUUGUGGGAUUGUUAGAAAUAGAAGGAAUAGUAACAAGGUUAGGAAUUAUACCAUUAUUCGCCUUUUCUAACAAGUAGAAGGAAUAGUAACAAGGUUAGGAAUUAUGCCAUUCUUCGCCUUUUCUAACAUAUCAGCAGCGGUUCCAACUUCACUUUCUCGGAAGACUACAUCUCUGCUUCUGAUGACCUUCUUCUUUACAGGAUCCCACAAUUUGUACCUAAACUCUUCAUCUCCGUAUCCAAUAAAUAUGCAGGGAACAGAUUUAUCAUCCAGCUUUGUUCUCCGCUCUUUCGGUACAUGUGCAAAAGCUCUGGAACCGAACACCUUCAGAUGCGAGUAGGACACCUCCUUAUUGGUCCAAACUCUCUCUGGGAUGUCAAAAGCCAAUUGAACUGAUAGACUCCUAUUGAUCAGGUAACAAGUUGUUUGAACUGCUUCACCCAAGAAUGACUUAGGUAGUUUAGCCAUUUUGAGCAUGCUUCUUACCUUCUCCACAAUAGUGCGAUUCAUCCUCUCUGCUACACCAUUGUGCUGUGGGGUUCCAGGA